rnacentral:rRNA from 1 species
GAUCAUGGCUCAGGACGAACGCUGGCGGCGCGCCUAACACAUGCAAGUCGAACGAGCGAGAGAGAGCUUGCUUUCUCGAGCGAGUGGCGAACGGGUGAGUAACGCGUGGGUAACCUGCCUCACACAGGGGGAUAACAGUUAGAAAUGACUGCUAAUACCGCAUAACCCGAUAGGAUCGCAUGAUCCAGACGGAAAAGAUUUAUCGGUGUGAGAUGGACCCGCGUCUGAUUAG